UAGGUACACAUUCUAGCUUACCUCUGUAAU
rnacentral:piRNA from 1 species